rnacentral:rRNA from 1 species
GAUGAACGCUGGCGGCGUGCCUAAUACAUGCAAGUCGAGCGAACAGACGAGGAGCUUGCUCCUCUGACGUUAGCGGCGGACGGGUGAGUAACACGUGGAUAACCUACCUAUAAGACUGGGAUAACUUCGGGAAACCGGAGCUAAUACCGGAUAAUAUAUUGAACCGCAUGGUUCAAUAGUGAAAGACGGUUUUGCUGUCACUUAUAGAUGGAUCCGCGCCGCAUUAGCUAGUUGGUAAGGUAACGGCUUACCAAGGCAACGAUGCGUAGCCGACCUGAGAGGGGGAGAGGACACAGUGGAAAGGAGACACGGACCAGAGGACUAAGGGAGGCAGAAGUAGGGAAUCUGCCGGAAUGGGCGAAAGACGGAAGGAGAAACGGGGCGUGAGGGAGGAAGGUUUUAGGAGAGGAAAACUCUGUUAGGAGGGAAGAAAAUAUGUGUAAGUAAAUGAGCAAAGAGUGAAGGUAACUAAGAAGAAAGACAAGGAUAACUAAGGG